AAACUAACAAGGAUUCCCUUAGUAACGGCGAGUGAACCGGGAAGAGCUCAAAUUUGAAAUCUGGCUGUCUUCGAUAGUCCGAGUUGUAAUCUAUAGAAGCGUUUUCCGUGCUGAACUGUGUCUAAGUCCCUUGGAACAGGGUAUCAAAGAGGGUGACAAUCCCGUACUUGACACAAUCAUCAGUGCUCUGUGAUACGUUCUCUACGAGUCGAGUUGUUUGGGAAUGCAGCUCAAAAUGGGUGGUAAAUUCCAUCUAAAGCUAAAUAUUGGCGAGAGACCGAUAGCGAACAAGUACCGUGAGGGAAAGAUGAAAAGCACUUUGGAAAGAGAGUUAAACAGUACGUGAAAUUGUUGAAAGGGAAACGAUUGAAGUCAGUCGUGUUCAUUGGAUUCAGCCGGUCUUCGGUGUACUUCCUUUGAACGGGUCAACAUCAGUUUUGCUCGGUGGAUAAAGGUAGUAGGAAUGUGGCC
rnacentral:rRNA from 2 species